rnacentral:rRNA from 1 species
AACGUAGGGGGCCAGCGUUGCUCGGAAUUACUGGGCGUAAAGGGUCCGUAGGCGGUGUGGCAAGUCGGAAGUGAAAUCUCUGGGCUUAACUCAGAGGCUGCUUCCGAAACUGCUGUGCUAGAGGGUGAGAGAGGCAAGUGGAAUUGCGGGUGUAGCGGUGAAAUGCGUAGAUAUCCGCAGGAACAUCCGAGGCGAAGGCGGCUUGCUGGAUCAUUUCUGACGCUGAGGGACGAAAGCUAGGGGAGCAAACAGG